CCUACGGGUGGCAGCAGUGAGGAAUAUUGGGCAAUGGGCGGGAGCCUGAACCAGCCAAGUCGCGUGAGGGAAGACGGUCCUAUGGAUUGUAAACCUCGUUAGGCGGGGAGCAAUGCCGGGCACGUGUGCCCGGGUGAAUAGUACCCGCAGAAUAAGCAUCGGCUAACUCCGUGCAAGCAGCCGCGGUAAUACGGAGGAAGCGAGCGUUAUCCGGAUGUAAUGGGUUAAAGGGGUGCGCAGGGGGAUGUUUAAGUCAGCGGUAAAUUGUCGGGGCUCAACCCGGGCCGGCCGUUGAAACUGGGGAUCUGGAGUGGGCGAGAAGUAUGCGGAAUGCGUGGUGUAGGGGUGAAAUGCAUAGAUAUCACGCAGAACUCCGAUGGCGAAGGCAGCAUGCCGGCGCAUGACUGACGCUGAGGCACGAAAGCGUGGGGAUCAAACAGGAUUAGAUACCCCUGUAGUC
rnacentral:rRNA from 1 species